CGGCCGCGUCGACGUGAAGCAGGCCUGCCUACGUUUGUGGGUGGGUUGACGGUAGCUGGAUAAGAAGCGCCGGCUAACUACGUGCCAGCAGCCGCGGUAAUACGUAGGGCGCGAGCGUUGUCCGGAAUUAUUGGGCGUAAAGAGCUCGUAGGCGGCUGGUCGCGUCUGUCGUGAAAUCCUCUGGCUUAACUGGGGCUUGCGGUGGGUACGGGCCGGCUUGAGUGCGGUAGGGGAGACCUGGAACUCCUGGUGUAGCGGUGGAAUGCGCAGAUAUCAGGAAGAACACCGGUGGCGAAGGCGGGUCUCUGGGCCGUUACUGACGCUGAGGGAGCGAAAGCGUGGGAGCGAACAGGAUUAGAUACCCUGGUAGUCCGACGCCGUAAACGUUGGGCACUAGGGUGUGGGGGGCCUUUUCCGGGUCUUCCGCGCCGUAGCUAACGCAUUAAGUGCCCCGCCUGGGGAGUACGGCCGCAAGGCUAAAACUCAAAGGAGUUGACGGGGGCCCGCACAAGCGGCGGAGCAUGCGGAUUAAUUCGAUGCAACGCGAAGAACCUUACCAAGGCUUGACAG
rnacentral:rRNA from 1 species